AUGGGGCUCCUGCGGCUGCUGGUCCUGGCGGUGCUGACGUCGGAACGUGGGGUGGCUGGUGGAGGCGAGGCCUCCGGGAACUCCAGUGAGGAUCUUCUUGAAUUUUCUCUGGGGAAAUUUAGAUACUUGAAACUCAUCAGAUCCUUUCAGAGGAAGCUAUUUUGCAUCAUAUUUCAAGCAAUGUGACUUUUCUUAUUUUCCAAAUACACUCACAGUAUCAGAACACAACAAUUUCUUUUUACAGGACUCUCCUUCCCAAUGCCUCGGAAACAGGCACUAACAGAGGGCUGGUUUCCAUUCUUAGACCAGAGCAGAGUAUGUGCACUUGGUACUUGGAGACUUUAGAUGCAGAGCCUGUUCACAAUGUGACCGUUCCACUCUCCUACUCGGAAAGAGAUCCUAUCCCUGGAGGCUGUAAUUUGGAGUUUGAUUUAGGUAUUGAUCCCGACAUUUACUUGGAGUAUAAUUUCUUUGAAACGACUAUCAAAUUUGCCCCAGCAAACCUAGGCUAUGCAAGAGGCACAGAUCCUCCGCUACGUGAUGUUGGGGCAGGCCGGGACUCUAGGUGGAAGUUGCAGUAUGAUGUCUAUCGGUAUUUUCUGCCCGAGAAUGACCUUACUGAGGAGGUGUUGCUAAAGCAUCUGCAGAGGAUGGUCCGGGUGUCCCAGGUGAAGGCCAAUGCUGUCAAGGUGGUAAUCCUAACUGCUGAUGAUAAGACAACCGUUUCCUUCUCCUCCCUCCCUGGACAAGGUGUCAUUUACAAUGUCAUUGUUUGGGACCCAUUUCUAAAUACGUCUGCUGCUUAUGUUCCUGCUCACACGUUUGCUUGCAGCUUCAAGGCAGUGGACGGUAACUGUGCUUCCCUUGGAAGAGUAUCUACCAAAGUGUUCUUCACUCAUUUUGCCCUGCUUGGUUUCUUCAUUUGUUUCUUUGGACAUAGAUUCUGGAAAACAGAAUUAUUCUUCAUAGGAUUUAUCUAAUUGGGAUUCUUCUUUUAUAUACUGAUUGCAAGACUGACACCCAUUAAGUAUGAUGUGCAUCUGAUUCUGACAGCCAUUGCUGGAAGUGUUGGUGGAAUUUUCUUGGUAGCUACAUGGUGGUGAUUUGGAAUCCUCAUGCUGUGCAUGCUAUGUAUUGGACUAGUGCUGGGGUUCCUCAUCUCGUCGGUGACUUUCUUCACUCCACUGGGAAACCUAAAGGUUUUUCGUGAUGAUGGUGUGUUUUGGGUGACUUUCUCUGGUAUAGUUAUCCUCAUUCCACUAGUUUUCAUGGGCUGCCUAAGAAUACUGAACAUACUGACCUGUGGAGUCAUGGGUUCCUAUUCGGUGGUUUUGGCUGUUGACAGUUACUUGUACACAAGCCUCUCUCACAUCACUUUGAACGUACUCAGGAGAGCACUCAACAAGGAUUUCCAUAGCACUUUCACAAACUUGCCUUUUCAAACUAACGACUUUAUUACCCUGGCAGUCUGGGGGAUGCUGGCUGUAAGUGGAAUUACACUACAGAUUCGAGGAGAAAGAGGGCAACCGUUCUUUUCUCCCCACCCGUACAAGUUAUGGAACCAAUCCAGUCUCUUGAGACUGACCGGAGGCGGAAAUGAAAUCCUAUCGGAUGACCUGAACUGGUCUGGUGAGGAAAGCCACCGGUCUGUCAGCUAUUGGUCAGUGCCAAAGCCCCAGGGACUGGCGCUUGUCGCAGAGGGGGAGUGGCUCUUUAUGUCUCGCUUCCGCAAGCUCAGAGGCCGUGCAAAAGACACUGGCCAAGGGGAGUGGGAUCCUCUCCAAACUGCCCAAGGCCCCAGUGCCUUCAGCUUCCGUAGGCGUCUGCCCCUCACAACUGAGGAGGCACUCAGAAUUCACUGCUUAAAGAAAGGGGCCUGGCUAAUUGACUUUAGGUCCUGGAAGGGCAGAGUUCGUUGCAAGGGCUCCCAAGCUGGGGGAAGGGAUCAGUUCCGCACCGUACCGCGACCUGCUGUGGGCCCUGAGCUGGCGUUAGCCCGCCCCCAGGGUGCUGGCUCCAGAGGGAGGCGCUCAGGGGCUGGGAGGUACCCGAUCAGGGAGUCAGUCGAGUCACCAGGGUGCUCCGCCAUCUCCUUUAUGUCUCCCUCCCCGAAUCUCAGGCAAGUCAGGCAAUAG